UCAGACGAUGCGUCAUGCAUAUCAAUAAGCGGAGGAAAAGAAACUAACAAGGAUUCCCUCAGUAACGGUGAGUGAAGCGGGAAGAGCUCAAAUUUGAAAUCUUGAAAGGUCUACCUUGCACGAAUUGUAGUUUAAAGAAGUGUUUUCUGCUGACGAUCUGGUAUAUAAGUUCUUUGGAAUAGGACAUCAUCAGAGGGUGAGAAUCCCGUCUAUGAUUGCGAUUUGUAGCUUUGUGAUACACUUUCAAAGAGUCGGAUUGUUUGGGAAUGCAGUCCAAAAUGGGUGGUAAAUUUCAUCUAAAGCUAAAUAUUGGCGAGAGACCGAUAGCGAACAAGUACCGUGAGGGAAAGAUGAAAAGAACUUUGAAAAGGGAGUUAAACAGUACGUGAAAUUGUCAAAAGGGAAGCGUUUGACACCAGUGUUGUUUUUCUGAAAAUCAGUUAAAGAACUGUUUAUGCUAAGUUGUUUAGACUUUAUCAGCUAUCUGCUUAGUUUUGAGCUUUUCUUUAAUGCACUUUUCAGUUAACAAGUCAACAUCAAUUUCUUUUGCUGUAAAAAAGCUUGAGGAAGGUGGCUUGAGAUUCGUCUUAAGUGUUUACAGCCUCUUGCCUAUGCAGUCGGAGAGAUUGAGGUCUGCAGCGUAGAUCCUUCGGGGCUAAAUGCAUUUGUGCUAAGUUAUAGCAUUUUAUAGACAACUUGUUGACUAUGAUUUGUCUUGUAGCUUACUCGCUUAUGUUAUUUUACCUACGCUUAGGAUGUUGACUGAUAUGUAGUCGU
rnacentral:rRNA from 1 species